rnacentral:rRNA from 1 species
UACGGAGGGAGCUAGCGUUGUUCGGAAUUACUGGGCGUAAAGCGCGCGUAGGCGGCUUUGUAAGUUAGAGGUGAAAGCCCGGAGCUCAACUCCGGAACUGCCUUUAAGACUGCAUCGCUUGAAUCCAGGAGAGGUGAGUGGAAUUCCGAGUGUAGAGGUGAAAUCGUAGAUAUCGGAAGAACACCAGUGGCGAAGGCGGCUCACUGGACUGGUAUUGACGCUGAGGUGGCGAAAAGCGUGGGGGAGCAAACAGG